UUGACACAAUUUCCAUGGAAAUAGUCGAAAUAUCACUCUAGGGUGUCUUUCGUUUAUCAAUUUAGUACUACGUAUUUACCAUAAAUACCUAUUUGAAAACUCACAGCUCACAUCGAGGAACUGCUGUUUCAAACUUUUGCAAACAAUACAACCGUAUCAAGACUGAAAACAUUGAAAAUGUGAUAAAGAAAAACGACGAUAAAAAAACACACUUCGGUCAUACAUAUUUCUUCUUCAAUGUCCAAUACGCAUAUACGAGCAGAGCUUCGAUACUUCAAAAACUUCUACGUGGAUUUAAAAUACCUACUAAAUUCGUUAUUUCUGCGAGCCAAAUAAUUGCUCGGUGAUUUCAAUACAGAUAAAGCCAAAAAUCAAAAGAUCAUCAUGAAUUUCCUGUUCUUGAUUUUAUUUUUAUUCGUCGCUUACGCGGUGUCUUUCCUUACAAUGGCUGUGAUGAAUGCUUAUGGCGAUUCCUCGAUAUGACGAUUCCAAUACACGAACGACCAUCCUGCUGUUAUCGACAUGAAACUGCAAAUUGCUACACCCAUCGGCUGUAUAAACACUUUUCAUCUAUUACGACGACGAUUUAUAGAGGAAAAAUUUGAAAAAACACGUGACGUAAACAGGUAGAUCAUAUCGCCGAUACCCUCAGGCUUCAACUACAUGUAUACACUGUGCAGUAAAUGGUAAAUUAAUAUAAACGAAUGAAAAAACAUGGGAAUUGGGAGGGAUAUAUAGAAACAUGAAAUUUCCUGACAACAAAAGCAGUCCGAAUCAUUUUUUUUUUUUUUUUUUUUUCUAAACUAGAACACGAAAAGUUAUUUGUAUUAAACGAUUGCACAUUGUACCUAAAACUAUAACAAAAAAUAUAUUUGCACACGUUUGUGUUUUUUUUCA